rnacentral:rRNA from 1 species
AUUGAACGCUGGCGGCAUGCCUUACACAUGCAAGUCGAACGGCAGCAUGAUCUAGCUUGCUAGAUUGAUGGCGAGUGGCGAACGGGUGAGUAAUACAUCGGAACGUGCCCUGUAGUGGGGGUUAAUAGGUGAAAAGUUAGCCUAAACCCCAAAACACCCGGAGGGGUAAGUGGGGGGCCGGCAGGGCCCCAGGUAAAAGGACCGGCGAUGAUUGAUUAGCUAGUUGGUGAGGUAAAGGCUCACCAAGGCCACGAUCAGUAGCUGGUCUGAGGGGACGAUAAGCCACACAGGGACUGAGACACGGCCCAGACUCCUACGGGAGGCAGCAGUGGGGAAUUUUGGACAAUGGGCGAAAGCCUGAUCCAGCAAUGCCGCGUGUGUGAAGAAGGCCUUCGGGUUGUAAAGCACUUUUGUCCGGAAAGAAAUGGCUCUGGUUAAUACCUGGGGUCGAUGACGGUACCGGAAGAAUAAGGACCGGCUAACUACGUG